rnacentral:rRNA from 1 species
UACGUAGGCAGCGAGCGUUGUUCGGAGUUACUGGGCGUAAAGAGUGCGUAGGCGGUUUUCUAAGUUUGGUGUGAAAUCUCCCGGCUCAACUGGGAGGGUGCGCCGAAGACUGGAAGGCUUGAGUAUGGGAGAGGUAAGCGGAAUUCCUGGUGUAGCGGUGAAAUGCGCAGAUAUCAGGAGGAACACCGGUGGCGAAGGCGGAUCUCUGGGCCUUACCUGACGCUCAGGCGCGAAAGCUAGGGGAGCGAACAGG